GAGUUUGAUCUUGGCUCAGGAUGAACGCUAGCUACAGGCUUAACACAUGCAAGUCGAGGGGCAGCAUUUUUCUAGCAAUAGAAGAGAUGGCGACCGGCGCACGGGUGAGUAACACGUAUCCAACCUGCCGAUAACUCCGGGAUAGCCUUUCGAAAGAAAGAUUAAUACCGGAUGGCAUACGAAUAUCGCAUGAUAUUUUUAUAAAAAUUUCGGUUAUCGAUGGGAUGCGUUCCAUUAGUUGUGGCGGGUAACGCCACCAAGACUACGAUGGAUAGGGGUUCUGAGAGGAA
rnacentral:rRNA from 1 species